rnacentral:rRNA from 1 species
AUACGGGGGGUGCGAGCGUUAUUCGGAAUUACGGGGCGUAAAGCGUACGUAGGUGGUUUGUUAAGUCAGAUGUGAAAGCCCUGGGCUCAACCUGGGAAUGGCAUUUGAAACUGACGAGCUAGAAUAUGGUAGAGGGAAGUGGAAUUCCGGGUGUAGCGGUGAAAUGCGUAGAUAUCCAGAGGAACACCAGUGGCGAAGGCGGCUUCCUGGACCAAUAUUGACGCUGAGGUACGAAAGCGUGGGUAGCAAACAGGAUUAGAAACCCCGGUAGUCC